AGCUGGUUCCAUUUUAGUGGGUUAUCAGAACUUAUUAACAUUAGUGUCAUUAAAAUGGUAUACAAACCCUCACCACUAAUUUGACUGGCUAUAA
rnacentral:Y_RNA from 1 species